rnacentral:rRNA from 1 species
GACGGGGGAUGCAAGCGUUAUCCGGAAUAAUUGGGCGUAAAGCGUCUGUAGGUGGUUUACCAAGUCUGUUGUUAAAAAUCAGGGCUUAACCCUGAUCCGGCAACAGAAACUAGUAGGCUGGAGUACGGUAGGGGCAGAGGGAAUUCUCGGUGUAGUGGUGAAAUACGUAGAUAUUGGGAAGAACACCGGUGGCGAAGGCGGCUCACUGGCUCGUAACUGACGCUCAUGCACGACAGCGUGGGGAGCAAACAGG